GAUGAAGAACGUAGCGAAAUGCGAUAAGUAAUGUGAAUUGCAGAAUUCAGUGAAUCAUCGAAUCUUUGAACGCACAUUGCGCCCGCCAGUAUUCUGGCGGGCAUGCCUGUUCGAGCGUCAUUUCAACCCUCAAGACCCCUUCGGGGGACUUGGUGUUGGGGACCGGCACAGGGGCCUGCCUGCUUGUCUUGCAGUGCCCUCGCCGCCCCCGAAAUGAAUUGGCGGCCUCGUCGCGGCCUCCCCUGCGUAGUAGCACAAACCUCGCAACGGGAACGUGACGGCGGCCACUGCCGUAAAACAACCCAAUUUUAUUAGAGUUGACCUCGAAUCAGGUAGGAAUACCCGCUGAACUUAAGCAUAUCAAUAAGCGGAGGA
rnacentral:misc_RNA from 1 species